rnacentral:misc_RNA from 1 species
GUGAGUCAUCGAAUCUUUGAACGCACCUUGCGCUCCCUAGUAUUCUGGGGAGCAUGUCUGUUUGAGUGUCAUGAACUCUUCAACCCACUGGUUUCUUGUAGACUAGCUGGUGUUUGGAUUUUGAACGUUGCUGGUCUUCGGACGUAGCUCGUUCGUAAUGCAUUAGCAUCUCUAAUUCGAAUUCGGAUUGACUCAGUGUAAUAGACUAUUCGCUGAGGACACUUUUAUUAGUGGCCGAACAAGAUCAUUGUAGAAGCUUCAAACCUCUAUAGUCAAUCUUAGAUUAGACCUCAGAUCAGGCAGGAUUACCCGCUGAACUUAAGCAUAUCAAUAAGCGGAGGA